rnacentral:rRNA from 1 species
AAUCAACGCUGGCGGCGUGCCUCAGACAUGCAAGUCGAACGCGAAAGUCCCCUUCGGGGGACAAGUAGAGUGGCGCACGGGUGAGUAACACGUAGGUAAUCCACCUUCGGAUGGGGAAUAACAACCGGAAACGGUUGCUAAUACCGCAUAAUGCAGCGGCACCUAAUGGUGACAGUUGUUAAAGCGGGGGAUCGAAAGACCUCGCGUCUGAAGAGGAGCCUGCGGCGGAUUAGCAGUUGGUAAGGUAACGGCUUACCAAGGCGACGAUCCGUAGCCGGCCUGAGAGGGCGGUCGGCCACACUGACACUGACACACGGGUCAGACUCCUACGGGAGGCAGCAGUCGGGAAUUUGGGCAAUGGGCGAAAGCCUGACCCAGCAACGCCGCGUGAAGGAUGAAAUCCCUCGGGA